AACGUCGAACGCCCCUGCCCUGAUCUGUGACCCCUUCUUCCGUUCCUUCCUCUCCUCUGUCCGUAGCGUGCUCCGGUCGCGCCGGCGCCGCCCCGAUCGCAGCCACAAGCACCGCUGCGAAUCGCCUCUCUCCCUCUCUCUCUCUCUCUCCUCUCCUAUUUUGUCCAUGGUUGCCUGCCAUUAUCUUCGCUGUUGUGUGCUUUUGGUCUGUCUUUUUGUGUUGCCCACCACCGGUUCGAUCGUAGGUCUCGCUGCCUGAUUGUCCGAAAGUCGAGGAGAAGCCUAGAAGAUAAAUUGAAGCAAUGUUAGGAGUGAUACAGAAGUUUGUUCUUGCAUCCAUGAUCAUGUGGGUGGCUCCAAUUGCAAUACUAUAUGGAUUUAAUUAUCAUAUUUUUCCUGGUAUUCUUGCUUAUCCAGCUAUGAUUUCUGUGUUAAUUAUUACUUCUACUGGCAUUCUUCCCUUCUCAUCAGGUUUAUAUUCUUAUCCCUUCUCAUCAGGAUUAUGAAAAGGCCACAUACAUAUAGUUCAGUUAUGUGUUUUUGUAUUUUGAAAAUGCCUUCAAGUUCCCACUUCAGACUUUAUUGACCAUCUUUUUCCUAUUGUCAUGUGAUGGCUUGAUCAAAAGUAUGGAAUUCUACCAUCCACUAGGAUUUUUGUAAUUGAGCUUUAUGAGACUAGUCAAUUUAAAUCAAAUUAUUGGCAGCUGUCUAUCCCUAAUAGUGGCCCUCCAUAUUCUUAAGCAAAGAUCAAGAUAACAACUUCUCUCAUACAUGACUGAUGAUUUGUCCUGUAUCAUAGUGUUAAAGGGGUACGGAAGGCCAUCAUGAUGCCCCUUGUUGUCUAUAUUGGUGUGAUAUGUUAUAGCAGAGUUGCAAAGUGAUGCAACCACACCUAGCUGGCUUAUGAUUUAUAAAUUUUGUUCAACAGUGAAGGAUCAUUUUUUGUUUUUUCGUUUGAGACUGGAUUUCUGUUCAAAUAUACAAUAUAAAGGUUAAGAAAACACUUGAAUCGAGGAAAUGUUUACAUAAUGUGCUUUAGAAAGUGAUAUCACAUUCUUAAAGAGUGAUGCCCAACCGUCUUCUCUAAAAAUUAUGAAUAAGUGCUUCUAUGGUGGAAAGCUAAGUUCAUUGCAUUGAGAAUAUCUUGAGAUUGACGUUGUAGAGAUUGACAUAAAUCAUAUAUCAUUCCCAUGAUUUCCUCCAUAAGAUGCAAUAUCAAGACAAAUUCAAAAAAUGUCAUUGCAUCAAAAGCUGCAUUAGCAUUCCCUAGUAAGGAAUAUGUUGACCUACAUAAGUUAUUUUCUUCAAAAUAGAACAAGUUGCAUUAAACAUGUUUCAAAAGCUGCAAAUAAAAUUUAUAUGAGAGCCCCAUCAAGUGUCUUCUGUAAAGUACCAAUUUGGUUAAGUUCCCUAUCAUGCUCAAUUUCAUCCUUGAGCAACUUCCAUGACAUGUGCAUGAAUCAUGGUGUAGCAACAAUAUUGACAGUAGAUGUCAAUUUAUAGAACUGAUGGAUAUGAAUGACUUCUCUGGAAGCAGCAAGCAGUGGUAACUGCAAAAAAUGUGCCCUAAAAUAGGCAUAAUAUGCAUAAGGGCAUUCUGUUAUAAAUAAGGCAUGUAACUCAUUCCACUUACCACACGUUACUGGUACAAUUAUAUGUUUGUGCUCGGAUAUUUUUGGUACAUAAAUUAUGUUGAGAUAAAAUUGCACAUGUUGCAUUUUCCAAAGUUAAAGCGUAGUAUUUGCAAGAUGGAUAAGAUCACAAAAGCACCCACAUACAAAUCCUUUUUUUAUCAACAAAUCUUGGAACAAGGUCAUUUGCUCUCUUUUAGAUUCAUCCUGUGCUUCAUUAACAAUAAUAAAAAAUUUGUCAUGGUCAAUUUUCUCGAACUGUACUCCAGACUUCGUUGGUGAAAAUAUGCCAAAUCUCCUCUUGGGGCUUUUUGACAAAAAAGAAAAGAAAAGCAUCUACACAUAUCCAAGGGUAUAGAAAAAGACCUGUUGGAUUAGCCUCGAGGGAACCUGACAUGAUCCAUGUUACUUCACCCAUAAUUCUAGGCCCAUUUAGCAAUAACAGACAUUAAACCUCUACCAAGAAGAAGGGCAAGAUAUGUUCCUAACUGUAACCUCCCAUUAUUUUGCAUCUUAGGGUUUGUGAAAUCAGCUGCAAAGAGAUCAAUGAGAGCCAUAUAAAUUAAAAUUCCAGUAGAGGCAGCAUCGAAAAUACCCUCAACAAUGAAGGUAGUCAAGCUAUUUUCAUUAUAGUUGGAUGAUAGUGCAAUGCCUAAUGAAAUUCCAGUUGGAGCUGUGAGAGAGAAAAAGACUGCCAUGAUCAUAGCUGCCUUUGCUCUGAACUUUGCCUACAAGGAAACAAUUUUGAAUUUUUGAUAGAAGUCUUGAUACAUCAAUAGCAUUACUAAUAUGAUAUAAUCUUUAUGGUUAUGCCAAUUUAAAUGUUCUUGUAUCAUUUUCAAAAUGUAGCACCUAGAGGUAUUAAUUCUUUUUUAUUUUGAAUUUUCUCUUUUCUAGUCAUGCCAUUGACAAUGUUUAUGUGGGUGCAUGAGAGAAAUAGAGAAAUUUCCAAUUGAAACAAUUGAGGGGGGAAGGAAGGUGCUGAGGAGUUUUGUGGAAGGCAAGUUUUAUAAAAAAAUGAACGUGAAUUUUCAAAUAUACCUUUUACCAUUUAAAUGUGAAAGAAGUUAUCCAUUUGUUUAGUAGUUUAUAACUCUGACUGAAGCAAAUAAUCAUACAACCUGAUUUUAUGUUAACAAAGGUUUUUAUAAGUUUUCUUGUAACUUUUGGAAUCUUGUGAUUUAUUAGUUUUAGCAAAAGAAAAAGUUCUGUGAAAUGCUAAUAAAUAAGUGUUUUCAAAUUCACUUUAGGUUUUGUCUAAAACUACUUCAGUAAAUAUCUAACAACCAAACAGCCCUUAGGUGCAAUUUCAUAAAAGCAUAUCCAGGAACCCUAGUCAUAUAACUUGAAAAUUUGGAUGGAUGGUGUGGAUUUGGUCAUGAGCUGCUCUACUUAAUGGCACAUUUACUUACAUUGGCUAUCAUUAAUGAUCUGCCUUUUAGUUGGUUUAGCUGAUAGUUUGAGUCCUCUAAGAGACUAUGGGGACAAACAGUCAAAUUUUAAGUUGGUUGAUUUGUUCCGUCUGCCAAUCUCUGGGAAGUACAAAACAAUGAGCAAUUGCAUUAACCAAUGAAACAAUAAUGUUUCGAAUGUUGCUGGAUGCAAUAAGUUACUCCAGGACCUUAUAACAAAAUCAAGGUCUUCUAUUUGAAGAAAUAAUUUAUCUCAACCAAAAAAAAAAAGAACAACUUAUCAACAAGGUUUCAAAUGCCGGUCUCUGCCAACCAGUAGAUCCUGUACCUAGCUAGUACAGAUGCAUGGCAUGGAUGAGCAUGACACCUAUUAAUUUUUUUCUAAUGAAAAAAAAAAUUAAAAUGAUCCUUGAUCCUGUAUCUAAGUUAAAAA